rnacentral:rRNA from 1 species
GACGAACGCUGGCGGCGUGCUUAACACAUGCAAGUCGAACGGAAAGGCCCUUCGGGGUACUCGAGUGGCGAACGGGUGAGUAACACGUGGGUGAUCUGCCCUGCACUUUGGGAUAAGCCUGGGAAACUGGGUCUAAUACCGGAUAGGACUACGGCCUGCAUGGGUUGUGGUGGAAAGCUUUUGCGGUGUGGGAUGGGCCCGCGGCCUAUCAGCUUGUUGGUGGGGUGAUGGCCUACCAAGGCGACGACGGGUAGCCGGCCUGAGAGGGUGACCGGCCACACUGGGACUGAGAUACGGCCCAGACUCCUACGGGAGGCAGCAGUGGGGAAUAUUGCACAAUGGGCGCAAGCCUGAUGCAGCGACGCCGCGUGGGGGAUGACGGCCUUCGGGUUGUAACCGUCUUUCAGUAGGGACGAAGCGUAAGUGACGGUACCGUA